rnacentral:rRNA from 1 species
UGGGGAAUCUUCCGCAAUGGACGAAAGUCUGACGGAGCAACGCCGCGUGAGUGAAGACGGCCUUCGGGUUGUAAAGCUCUGUGAUCCGGGACGAAAGAGCCUGAGGUGAAUAGCCUAAGGAAGUGACGGUACCGGAAAAGCAAGCCACGGCUAACUACGUGCCAGCAGCCGCGGUAAUACGUAGGUGGCAAGCGUUGUCCGGAAUUAGUGGGCGUAAAGCGCGCGCAGGCGGCUUCCUAAGUCCAUCUUAAAAGUGCGGGGCUUAACCCCGUGAUGGGAUGGAAACUGGGAAGCUGACGUAUCGGAGAGGAAAGUGGAAUUCCUAGUGUAGCGGUGAAAUGCGUAGAGAUUAGGAAGAACACCGGUGGCGAAGGCGACUUUCUGGACGAAACCUGACGCUGAGGCGCGAAAGCGUGGGGAGCAAACAGG